CUCUAGUUUUACGUCAUCUCAGUGCGACGAAGUCCGCGAGGGAGGGGUGGGGUGAGCGCUGUUCGCGGUGGUUGGGGGGCUGCUUUGAAGGUGUCAUGGCUGCUGCUGCGGAGCUUAGUUCCUCAAGCGGCAGCGAGAGGAGCCUGGAGCAAUGCUCCAGCCCCCUCCUCACCCGCGAGGUCCUCUGCGAAGUCUUUCGCUCCUUGCACACCCUGACAAGACAGCUUAACCUCAGAGAUGAUGUGGUGAAAAUUACAAUCGAUUGGAACAGGCUCCAGAGCCUCUCAGCAUCCCAGCCUGCACUGCUCCUUACUGCACUUGAACAACACGUUUUGUAUUUACAGCCUUUUUUAGCAAAACUUCAGUCUUUAAUGAAAGAAAACUCAACAGCUACAGAGAUAAGACAGACAGAAGCAGAGACCAAGAGUGAACUAAGAGCCAUACAUCCCACCGAGGACCUACAAGAUGAAGGGAAGCCCAAAGACUGUGAUGUAGGAGAUGUGAAAAAGACACAAAACCUUUUUGACCCAGAAGUAGUUCAGAUCAAGGCUGGAAAAGCAGAAAUUGACAGACGAAUAUCUGCAUUUAUUGAGAGAAAACAAGCUGAAAUCAAUGAAAACAAUGUCAGGGAAUUUUGCAAUGUUAUUGAUUGUAAUCAAGAAAAUAGUUGUGCAAGAACUGAUGCUGUCUUUACUCCUUAUCCUGGAUUUAAAAGUCAUGUAAAGGUUUCUAGAGUUGUGAAUACAUAUGGACCACAGACUAGACCUGAAGGAAUUGCAGGGUCAGGUCACAAACCUACAGGCAUGCUUCGAGAUUGUGGUAAUCAGGCGGUAGAAGAACGACUCCAGAAUAUUGAGGCUCACCUGCGAUUGCAGACAGGUGGCCCAGUACCAAGAGACAUCUACCAAAGAAUUAAAAAGCUUGAAGAUAAAAUCCUUGAAUUGGAGGGCAUCUCUCCUGAAUACUUCCAAUCUGUAUCUUAUGUAUGGGAAGUCAUGCGGAUGUUUUCUAAAUAGUGAUUAUUUUGUUACUUUUAAACUAGAACUUCUCUGGAAAAAGAAGAAAAGUCCAACCACCUCAACAGAACUAUUCACUGGCUGAACUGGAUGAGAAAAUUAGUGCCCUCAAACGAGCCCUGCUCAGAAAGUCAAGAGAAGCAGACUCCAUGGCCGCUCACCUUCCAUGAGACCACUCUUGUCACAUUGCUUUCCUUUAAGAUGCAUAUGCUUAACUAUUUGCAGUGUAUUCCUCAACAUAAACUUGUCUGACAGCAAAUAGUCAGAUGCUGCAGUGUUUGGAAAUGAUGUACAUCUUGACCAUUGCACUGUUGGAACUUAGUCCCUUCUGUUUUAAAGGAGGCAUUUUGGAUAUUAAGCAACUUAAUUUGAAAGAACUUCUUUUGGUGGACUACCAGAGAUUAUUAUUUUGAUAGUGGUAUUUAAAAGGACUUUAUAUUUGUAACAUUGAUUAACCAUUUUUUUUUUAGUUUAUAUUAGUACUUUGUACAUAGUAGGCAUUUAGCAAACAUUUAUUGACAAAAAAUAAAACAAAAACUGACAAAUGAA